AUUGAACGCUGUCGGCAGGCCUAACACAUGCGAGUCGAACGAGUGGCGGACGGGUGAGUAAUGUCUGGGAAACUGAAUGAUGGAGGGGGAUAACUACUGGAAACGGUAGCUAAUACCGCAUACCAUCGGAUGAGCCCAGGUGGGAUUAGUUAGUUGGUGGGGAAAAGGAUCACCUAGACGAAGAUCCCUAGCUGGUCUGAGAGGAUGACAAGGCACAUUGGGACGGAGAUGCGUCCAAGAUUCCUACGAGAGGCAGCAGUAAGGAAUAUUAGACAACGGGCACAAGCCUGAUGAAGCUAUGCCAAGUGUAUGAAGAUGGCCUUCGGGUUGUAAAGUACUUUCAGCAGGGAGGCUUUACCCGCAGAAUAAGCACAGGCUAACGCCGUGCCAGCAGCCGCGGUAAUUC
rnacentral:rRNA from 1 species